rnacentral:lncRNA from 1 species
GUAAGUGGCAAAGCAAGAUUGGAACCAAGCCCAUGUGACUUGAAAACUGAGAGUAAGGCUGUUUGCUUGGCUCUGCACAGGGAGUACACAAUGAGUGUGGCUGCCCGAGCUUGUCGCUCUGUCCUGUGGCUACUUGCUUCACACCCUAGACCCUGCUGGCCCUGCUGGGCUGCAGGAUGGUAGAUGAGAGCUUCCCCUGACCUCUCCUCUACUUCUGCCCCCUCCCACUGUUCCAGAAGGCAGGACACUGACGUUCUCAGUUCCCAGACUGGCAGGCAGACAGCAUCCAAGUAUUGAGCACAUUUUUGGGGGGGACACUUUUGAAGGCCUUCCCACAUUGCCAUCCAACUAGCAGACAAGGACAGCUGCGGUCACCAUGUUCCAGAAGCCCGGAGAUGUGCGGCAGCUGGGCCUCUCCAUCCUUCCCUCCCUCCCUCCCCCGCUGUUUCUCUCGCUACACUGGGCCAUAGGUGGGCGCAGCAGGCCUGGAACACUUUUGUGUUGUCUUUGCUAAAGAGGGGCCGAGGCUGUUUGAAGGUGAACUGUGGAAAAUGGUCUUGCUGUGCUUCAGAUCAUGUCUUCGCCCCUUCCUGACACUGUUCUGGGAGUGGAGACAGGAGUCUUUGCUGGAGAUUCAGCCCUGCCUGCGAGGGUAGGGGAGGGCAGGCCACCCAGCUCACCUCUGGGUCCGUUGGGGCCGCAGCAGGUGUGUGAGAAUAUUUGCCAGUGUGUGCUUGUGUAUGUGUCUGUGCAGGUCUGUAUUUAUACAUGUGUUUGUGCGCAUAUGCCCCUCUGUGUCUACACAUGUAUUUGUGCCUGUGCAUAUGUGUACAUAUGCACGAUUCAUGUCUGGUACGUGUUAACACGCAAGUUUGUGUCUGGAAUCAUGUGUGUUUGCAUGUGUGUUUACCUGCAUGUCUGUGCACGUGUGUGUGUUUAUGCCUGUGUGUUUGUGUGUGUUUGUGUCUGUGCACAUGUGUGCACUCCAGACAAAUGGCAGGAUGCACACUGCGCAUGAGGUGGCUUAGGGUAGAGUCUCGGGCCUUGAAUCAGGCUUCCAUAUGGCCCCAGAUGUGACCCUUCACCCUCCCCUGUGGCUGUCAAGGUCUCUGCCCCCGGAGACCAGAGAACUUUCCUUUGGAACCAAGUGGGCCUCGCUCCCGGGGCAGGGCGGAAACUACUUCCAAAAGCAAACAGGAUCAUCAUCAUGCUGGGGAGCCUGGAGCCCGUGGGACCUUGUUUAAUUCUGAAGGAAUGUGCUCGGUUCCCGCCCAGCAGAGCAGGCCCUGGCCUGACAGGGAGCCGUGAAGACCUGGCCGGCAGUGGCUGCCUUUGGAAGAGGGAGCUUGGCUGGCCAGGGACAAACCAUUCCAGGGACAGAAAAUCACACCAACUCGUGUGACUGGAGUGGGCUAGGGCUGACAGAGCCCUUCCUCAGAGCCUCCGGGCCGGUGUGCCCAGCUCUGUGCCGGGGAGAAGGGGGCAACAAGCAGGGAAGAGGAAGUGGCCCAGAUAUGACCCCAGAGGAGCUUGGAAUCUAUCAGGGAAGGGCAAAUCCCCAACGGGGGACAAGAAGGAGAGUGUAUCAUGGUGACGGGGCGUGGGGGAAGCAUAUAGUGCAGAGAGGAGCGAUCCCUGGGGACUGUGGCCAUCAGGAAAGGCUUCUUGGAGGAGGCGGAGGUUUAACUGGGCCCCGAAGCGGGGGGAAGAUUUGGAGGGAAACAGGACAUUCUGAGAAGAGGAGAAGUUUUGUAAAAGAUGCAGAUGUGGAAAAGGGGAGUGGGUGUUACCCCAAGCGACAGAGCGGGAGACCAAGGGAGACCUUGAGUGUGAACACAGCCAGUCUAGAAACAACACAACUCCAUAGAACCCAUCAGACUACAAAGAGAAAGCAGCAGUCUUCAAAAUAUCAGAGCAGCAUCACAGAAAAAUGAGUCCGCCCUUGAUACUGACUGUCUCCGAGUUUUCUGUGGUUGCACCAUCUGCCGUCUCAGAGGAUGAGCCAUCAGACAUUGCCACAGGGAAGGGGUGGGAAGUGGUCAUCCUCGGGACUCCAAGCUGACUUUUUUGACCUCGUUAUGGAGAUGAUGGGCUGGACUAACUGCAGGAUGGAGUGCUUGUGCAGACCAGAUCACGGAGGAUGGAAGCUGUGGUGUGAGUGACUCUGGCUCCUAGCGACAGCGCUGGAGGGACAGGACAGAGAGCUGCCCUCAGACCUCGGGGCGCCAUCCCCCGUGACCUCGCUGCCCCCUCCCUCUCCCCAGCGAGUGCAAACACAGCUGGUCACGGACUUUUGCUGCGGGAGGUGUUUUCCCCGAGCUGAUAGGAUCAACCUGUUCUUUACCUCAAACCUGUUUUUAAAAGGACUUUCCUGUUUUUUUUUUCUUUCUUUAAUUGCAGAAUAUUUUUAUAACAUACUUUGAACAGAAGAAACAGAACCUAGCAAAACAGUUAUUAAAGAGCUGUAAAAUGCUUUCCUCACACUUGCCCUCUUAUUUCUUCCUCCUUUGGGUGGGUCGGGCUGUAGGUUGGGGCUGCGGUGGGUGAACCUAAGUGA